rnacentral:rRNA from 1 species
CAAAAACAUGUCCUUUUGUUUAUUAAUUUAAGGUCUGACCUGCCCAAUGAGGAAUUCAAUGGCCGCAGUAUUUUAACUGUGCUAAGGUAGCAUAAUCAUUUGUCUUUUAAUUGAGGGCUGGAAUGAAGGGUUGGACGAGGCAUUAGCUUUCUUUAAUUUAGUUUGAAGAAUUUAAUUUUUGAGUUAAAAAGCUUAAAUUUAUUUGUGGGACGAGAAGACCCUAUAGAUCUUUAUAGUUUUAUAUUUUAAUAAUUUAGGGAUUUAUAUAUUUUAAGUAAAUGAACUAUUUUGUUGGGGUGACUGUAGAAUUAAAAUAACUUCUAUUUUUUAUUUUCAUUGAUUAGUGUUUUUUUGAUCCAUAAUUUAUGAUUAGAAGAUUAAGUUACCUUAGGGAUAACAGCGUAAUUUCCUCGGAGAGUUCAUAUUGAUGAGGGAGUUUGCGACCUCGAUGUUGGAUUAAAAUGAGUUAUGGAUGCAGGAGUCUAUUUACUAGGUCUGUUCGACCUUUAAAUUUUUACAUGAUCUGAGUUCAAAACCGGAGA